rnacentral:rRNA from 1 species
UACAGAGGUCUCAAGCGUUGUUCGGAUUCAUUGGGGCGUAAAGGGUGCGUAGGCGGCGCGGUAAGUCGGGUGUGAAAUCUCGGAGCUUAACUCCGAAACUGCAUUCGAUACUGCCGUGCUUGAGGACUGGAGAGGAGACUGGAAUUUACGGUGUAGCGGUGAAAUGCGUAGAUAGUCGUAAGGAAGACCAGUGGCGAAGGCGGGUCUCGU